CGAGUGGCGGACGGGUGAGUAAUGUCUGGGAAACUGCCUGAUGGAGGGGGAUAACUACUGGAAACGGUAGCUAAUACCGCAUAACGUCGCAAGACCAAAGAGGGGGACCCUCGGGCCUCUUGCCAUCGGAUGUGCCCAGAUGGGAUUAGCUUGUUGGUGGGGUAACGGCUCACCAAGGUGACGAUCCCUAGCUGGUCUGAGAGGAUGACCAGCCACACUGGAACUGAGACACGGUCCAGACUCCUACGGGAGGCAGCAUG
rnacentral:rRNA from 1 species